UCAUGGAACGACUUUAAAACUACGAAUGAUAUUUGUUUAUAUUUUGCUUGUAGGAAACUUUCGAUUUAUUUUUCCCCCAGGGAAGGUAGUUUCAAAGUUUUUUAACCCAUUAAGGCGACUCAUAUAACUUGUAUAAUUUAGGUAUAUGACUAUGCCUUUGGCAGUAAAAGAAUCUUGGGAGGAAAUGUUGACAUUCUGCUAUGAUCCCUGUGAGAAUAUUAACAGUCUUCCUAUCCAAUCUCCAACCACCAUCAUUGCCUGGGCUCCCUUCUUCUCUGGGGCUCCUGUGAAUCUGUAUGAUAUGAAGAAUGAAGGACUCAGGAAAAUAUUCCAUAAAUGAUGAUGCAUAUCAGCUCAUACUUACUCCUCAAAUACAGUAAUAGUAUGUCUAGGAUAUUGAAUAGAAAGAUUCAUAUCAAUGAAAGAGGCAGAUGCAUAUGCCCAUUGACACAUGAUGAGACGCCAUUCCGCUACCAAAAUCACAAUACACAGGGAGCUUCUCACGUUUCAUCACUAAACAUGCUUAGCCCAUUCUAAAUCUCCAUUUAACAGUGCAGUGCACUGUGAGAUCAGACUUGUCCCACAGUUACCUCAUGGCUGUCUGAGAGCUGCAGCUGGCCACGACCACCCAGAAGCACAGGAGAAAUUCAAAGUGUAAGGGAUGCCAGACAGCAUGAACUUCAGCGAUGUCAAACAAGUUCAUCGAGCAGACCGUGGAAGUACUCUGGAUACAACCGGUGCGGGAUGCGGGUCAGGAACUGCGUCUAUGACGCUCCUGCUGAUGGGGACGCUGAUGUUUCUUCCCUGGCUUUGGUAAUGGAGCUCUUCUUCAAGACAUACCCUACUGCAGACUUGACUUAUCCCCUAUCUCUUUAUGCCUGGAAAAGAAGAACUCUUAAAAUACCGAUGGAAAUUACAGGAAAGUAUGCGAUAGUAACUUCUUAGAAGCCAACGGAAUGUCCACAGCGUUCCUAUCAAUCAAGACUCUGAUAGUCUGUUUCAAACUCUGUCUUCUUGGCGUCUAACUUAAAACUUCUUAAAUUCUAACACUCAAUCUAAACUAUGAAAACUCAGAAGUGACUUUUAAUAAGAAGGCUUCGGUGUAUCUGUAAUUCUGCUCUGCUCAAUCAAACCCUUUCCUUUCAGUGUUGAGAAUGUUGCCAUUUGAGGGUGUGUUUGCCAAGCACGGAAUACGAUAAGUAGUAUUUUUUAAAGUACUGGGAAUAAAAAUAACAUUAAGUCAAAGCACACAAAGGCAAGUAUUAUGCAUGCAUUGUAGGUGAUACAUUUUUGCGAGUUAAAUCAAGAAGUUGCUACAGGUCUGUGAGCUAUACAGUAGAUUAGCAGAGCGAUUUCACAUAAAUUCACUGAAGGAGCUUGGUAAUGUGUUCUCCCACGAAACCUCCUCUACUGAGCUUAGUGACUUAGGGAUGCCCCUGUGAUGUCCCUUUAACGUUUGAAAUGCACUGUCGUAUCAUGGCUCUGUUCCUCUUUUGUCUUUUCCUAAAACAUCUAGCUAUGUCAGAAAAGCACACUUAUCUACUCCAAUAAAGUCGUUGAUUAUUUGAUGAAAAAUGUUAAAGAA